rnacentral:rRNA from 1 species
CCUACGGGAGGCAGCAGUGAGGAAUAUUGGUCAAUGGACGAGAGUCUGAACCAGCCAAGUAGCGUGAAGGAUGACUGCCCUAUGGGUUGUAAACUUCUUUUAUAUGGGAAUAAAAUGUUCCACGUGUGGGAUUUUGUAUGUACCAUAUGCAUAAGGAUCGGCUAACUCCGUGCCAGCAGCCGCGGUAAUACGGAGGAUCCGAGCGUUAUCCGGAUUUAUUGGGUUUAAAGGGAGCGUAGGUGGAUUGUUAAGUCAGUUGUGAAAGUUUGCGGCUCAACCGUAAAAUUGCAGUUGAUACUGGCAGGCUUGAGUACAGUAGAGGUGGGCGGAAUUCGUGGUGUAGCGGUGAAAUGCUUAGAUAUCACGAAGAACUCCGAUGGCGAAGGCAGCUCACUGGACUGCAACUGACACUGAGGCUCGAAAGUGUGGGUAUCAAACAGGAUUAGAUACCCCAGUAGUC